ensembl:snoRNA U3 Small nucleolar RNA U3
AAAACUAUGUUUUCAGGGAUCAGUUCUACAGUUCAUUAGCAGAGAAGUUUCUCUGUGUAGAGGACCAUGAGCCACGAGGAGGAGGCGCAGUGCUCUCUCCUCAGCGCGAAGCCUGCUCUUGGUGCUGCUUUGCUGCAACUGCCACUUGCCAUUGAUGAUCGUUCCUGCUCGUCUUCAGGGGAGCUGGAGGGAGAGGACCACUCUGAGUGAA